AUGUUCACUGUUAUAUUCAUGUGUCUGUGGCUUUCAUUAGGUGACUCCAUGGCAGAUCCAAUAAAGCCACGUUUCCCUCAUAAAGUUGUAGAUGAAGGUGAUGAUGUUACUCUGUCCUGCAGCUACAAAGACUUCAGUGGUACAGUAAAUAACUUGCAAUGGUACAAACAACAUCCAAAAUCUAAACCUGAGUUCCUUUUUUUCAUCACUCGAAAUGGAGUUAAAACUGACCCUAUGCCACCACGUCUGUCUGCUGAAGUUGAUGAUAAAACUAAACAAGUGGAUCUGAUCAUCUCCUCUGCUGCUGUAUCAGACUCUGCUCUAUACUACUGUGCUCUG